AAACCCUGGUAGAAUAUAACAGUCUACCCGCCCGAGUACUACGAGUAGUANCUUGAAACUCAAAAGACCUGGCGGUACUUUAUAACCCCUAGAGGAGCCUGUUCUAUAACCGAUGAUCCCCGUCUAACCUCACCCUCUCUUGCCUUAUCCGCCUAUAUACCGCCGUCGUCAGCCUACCCUGUGAAGGGUAACUAGUAGGCAUCAUCAGCAUUACCUCCAAACGUCAGGUCGACGUGUAGCGUAUGAGAGGGGAAGAAAUGGGCUACAUUUACUAACCUAGUAAAAACAGAAGAAGUAGUGAAACCUACCUCCGAAGGUGGAUUUAGUAGUAAGAGGGGAAUAGAGUGCCCC
rnacentral:rRNA from 1 species